ACUAAAACUGAGUUCUGCAGAGUCCCGAACUGAAAAACACAAAACACCUCAUCUUUCUUCAAUAUCAUCAUGUUCUCCUCCCUCUGUUGGGACUUAUUCAUCAUUUCCUCCAACCAAAUCUGUCCUUCCUACCAGGGUGCUCAGUGGACAAAAAGUGGUAUGCUCUUUUGUGUGCUGGUGCCCCACCACAUAGAGCAGGCGCCCUUUUUCACCCCCGCCGCUCAAGAAUUCUCAGUCCGCCAAUCCGCUGACGGGUUCCAGGAUUGCAUCAUGGCAGAUCGGUGCUACUACUUGCAGUGGCAGCAGGUUGUGCUCCAGUUGUGUCAGUGGGCAAAAGUCGGUGGGCUGAUUGAAGCCUAAAUGAUCAGAACAUGAUGGGGGAGGGAGCCAUGACACCUGUCAAUCAUUUACAUGUCUGAAGUGACUGGAAGACGAUGCUUCAUCUCAGCAAAAAAAAAAA